UCUAUUUGAGCACAAGCAUGUUGUACUUUAGGGUUUGAGUUAUAGAACAAAAACAAACAAAAAUCAAAUUAUUCAGAUUAUUCCUCCAUAAACUCUACUCCUAAUUAAUAGGUUGUUAAUUCUUCCUCUUAGACUGUAAGCACACCAAGGGGAGUUUCUGGACGACUAGAGGACAUCUGAGGAGCACGGCUAAGCCCCAAACCUUCCUUAGGACUACUGUGAACCCCUAUACUUCUGCAGCUACAGUUCCAAAUUUCUGGGCUCCGUCCCAACAAAACGUCUAGAAAAAUUUGCUCUAUUUUCGAUCCUCGUUUUUUUUUUUUUUUUUUUUUUUUUUUCUCAUUUCAGAACAGUGAUGGCUUUUCCAGGUAAAGCAUCUUGUUACCUUAUAAGUUUCAUUAAAUAGAUGGCCUUUGAACUAGACCUUGCAGAAUGGGUAAAAUUUAUUUUGGAAAAGAAGUGAAAGAGGGCUAUCAGAGAGUGUUUUCAUGAAUGUAUAAGCCUGGAAUCUGGAUGUCUUUGAUAAGGAGCGAUAAAAGGGUACAUUUGGGUGUGGAUUAAUUCACUUACUCAGUAUAUACAUAUAUAUAGAAACCACAAUUAGAUACGGGAAAUAUAGCAAAGGAUUAGACCUGGUCCAGCUCUCAUGAUGUUCAGAGACAGUGAUGGUUCCGGGGCAUAGAGACGCAGUGGACAUCAAGAGGUGGGCUAAUUCAUUAUUUGAAGAAUCUUCAAUGACACACAAAGGAGUUUGAAUUUUAUCCCAUCACUACUCAUAACAGCACUUUUUUUGACACUAAUCACAUGCUGGGCAGUAUUCACUAUUUAUUAUUGUAACAACCUUAUGAUAUAGAGAGAUAUUUGUUAUCUCCAUUUUACUGACAGGGAGACUGAAGCAUGGAGUAGGUACCUAACUUGGCUAAGGACUCAGAGCUAAUAAGAGGUAGAGUCAGGAUUGAGUCCAGGUAUUUUGGCUUCAGAGUCUAUAGUCUUAUCAUUUGUAAAUAUAUAAUAUGUGGCUAAAGAGAAGCUUUUUUAUAUGAAAAAAGUAAAACAAGGUUAAUGAUGCUGGGAAAAAUCAUUGGAAGAUACAGCAGUGUGUAUCAGAGCCUGGACUAGACUCCACAAGGCUUUAGGUCCAUUGCUGCUUCUGCUCCACAUAGAGUGUGCACUAGUGUGCAAAAACUUUGUGGAUACACUUGGCUAAAUUAAGAGGAAUAUGUUUACACUACAAGAGGUGGUAAUGCUGCAGUCCUUUUUUUUUUUUUUUUUUUUGCUUUUUAGGGCCAAACCCAUGGCAUAUGGAAGUUUUCAGGCUAGGGAUUGAGUCGGAGCUGUAGAUGCCAGCGUACGCCACACCCAUCACCAGAUCCGAGCCAUGUCUUUGACCUACACCACAGCUCACAACAAUGCCAGAUCCUUAACCCACUGAGCAGAGCCAGGUUCAAAACUUGGAUUCAUUUCUGCAGUGCCACAAGGCUUGCUGCAUUCUUUUGUGCUGGUGAGACUAAUAGUGAGCAGUGAGAGGGUUCAGUUGUGUCUGUCUUCCUCUCCGAAUACAUCAGCUGGGGCCCAAAGUUAACAUAUCCAAAGGUAGAAAUGGUUUGUUUUUGUUGUUCCAAGCAAGGUCAAACUUGCAGAAAGGUGCGUUUGGUUGGGUGAGGAUGACCCAGCUAUCUCGAUGUCCUUUUACUAGUCAUGGCAUACGAGGUGGUAGAGUCACAAAAUACCUCAUCGUCAGCUGCCUUAGAGACUAGCUUGACCUCCCCCAGGACUCGAUCCACUGUGAAAUGCAUUCAGGCACAGGGAAUAUCAGUGCAAAAACCCCAGGAUUUAUUCCUCUCUAAAAGGUGGCUUGGAGUGAUGUCACACGUAGAAAGUGGACUGAUUCAUUUCCACUCCCAGCAUUGUUUCAAUCGAGCUUGGCACAAAGAUGAUCAAUGCUGACUCAGAGCUAUGUCCAGAUGGAGAGAGAGCCUUCUAAACUAUCACAUCCAACCCAGUCCUGGUCUACCACUCCCCCUCGAGUCUCUAGAAUCCUCACUGUCCUAUCUAUAGGGUGCACCCAUUCCAGAGGAUAAGACUCCACUCAUAUUUGGUCCUUUGCCUUCCCAGCAGGACCCCAAAACCCCCUCACCCUUUCAUCUAUGCAGACUGGCACAGAAGAAAUGAUUCUGAAAAAUAAACUAGCUAAUCAUUAGAUGAAAGCAAGCUAUUCUCUUUAUUGGUGAUGCAUCCUGCUUUGAAGGACCUGGUGCAUGAGUUGUGGUGGAGACACUGCUUGGCAUUGACCCAUUUCCCAAAUUAGAAAGACUUAACUCUUCAUGCACAGGUAUUGCUAGACCCCUACAAACCUUGGAUCCUGGGGAGAGAACUGUACGAUAUAGGAUGGAAAGGAACAGAAGAGAACGCAGACUCUUCCAAAGGGAAAAGGAGUUGUGCCGAGUAUGUACAGGUUGUUACUUCCCAGAUUACUCCAGGAUUAGUCCUGCAUUUCUCCGCAAAAGAGUGAGGAAUGGAACAGAGAGGCAAUAGCAGUGUUUCACUAAUUGAAUUCCCUCCAUAAGGAAAGAACCAUGAGGAAGAGGGGAAGAGUAGUUCCCUUUCGCCAGUGUUAAGAGCACAUUUUGUGCUCUUAUUUAUUUGUUUAUUUUUCUUUUUAGGGCUGCACCUGUGGCAUAUGGAGGUUACCAGGUUAGGGGUUGAAUUAGGAGCCUUAGCUGUUGGCCUAUCACACCAUAGCCACAGCAAUGCGGGAUCCGAGCUGCAUCUGUGACCUACACCACAGCUCACAGCAACGUCAGAUCCUUAACCCACCGAGUGGGGCCAGGGAUCAAACCCGCAUCCUCAUGGAACCUAGUUUGGUUUUCUAACUGCUGAGCCACAAAGGGAACUCCACAUUUUGUGCUCUUAACACUGUGUGUUCCCUGCCCAGGAAAAGAGUAAAUGCUUGUCAAGCCUGUUCUUUGCUGACCCGUGUGGGCCCCUCCCACAAGGAUAACACUGCACCUUGGGUCCCAUGAGCAGGUCUGAAUUCCCCCAACACCCCCUGCUCAAAGACCCUAAAAUGGGUCAGAAGGGCAUAUUGUUUAUAUCAACAAAAAGAAUGAGCAUUUCAUCUCUGGUUGAUUUUCCAGUCUACAUUUUUUUCCCAACAAUGUUGCCCAUCAUAAUCGGUUAUGUGAUCUUUUUUGAGCUUGACUGAUAACAUAAUUAUUCUCCAGCAACAAAAUGUCAAUAAAGGGAUGGCCCAAAUGUGAACAUAAACUCUCUGCUACUAUGCCAUUACUGGGGAAAUAUUAAAAUAGGGAGAUGAAAUUAGUUUAAAGGUAAAGUCCAAAUAUGUUACAUUUCCACAGAAUUAAGGUCCAAAAUCAAUUUUCCUUAGGCCUGUGAUUUAAAAUUCCAAAGUUUAUAAAGUACUUCUCAUUUUUUUUUUCAGUCCUUUCAGUCUCUGUUGAAAGUUUUCAGAGACAGUAUUCUUUUAGGACCUGAAGAUUGUGUUUCUUUCUCUUUGGAAGAAAUGUGUUUCCUCUACCAGGACCUAAGAAUUGUAUUUGUUCUGAGCCUCCGAUGUCAUCACUGUUUUACAGAUUCCCAGGAGUUAUUAUGAAAAACAAGAUUAUCACAACUCUGGCGCCACAUCCCCAGCAUUGGAGAAACAAAGCAAUCCUUGCUCCUAAAAGAGUUACUUCAGACAAAAUUAUUUUCAGCCAGUCUUUUGUGUUGCCAAGACUGUCACAGGAACUUAUGAUUGUCCUAAAAGGACAUGGCUGUCUUGGUUGGGGUCUUCCUGGGAUACCAGGAAGUUUAUGUCCAUUUUCUGAUACUUAAGAAUUGGAAUUAAAACUCGUUUGGGAAACUCUCAGCAAGAGGUUAAUUUUGGCACUUACUGCAUCAAUGAAGCCCACUUAUGAAUCCUACACAGUAGGUCCGAAGAAUGCUUGCCUGUUUUCCCACGUCUGCAUUGAGCCCCAUGGUUCAGGCAGCUGGUGGUUAAUUGAAUCACAGAAUCUACAAAUUAACAUGGAAUCUACCACUUGCUCUUAUGAGAAGCAUUUUCAGUCCUGCAACACUAAGUCUGUUUCUUCUUCAUUUAUCUUUGGAAGUUUUAAGACUUAAAAAAAUUGUACUUAGAAUUUCCUCCCAUAUAGGUAAUUAAAUGAUACAGAACAAGUUUGACACCAGCUGGUGACGAGAAUUGGAAGGGGUGAGUGGCUUGAUGCCUGACUCUGUGGAGAAGCCUGUGCUAGUUCUAGCCUUGAAAUUUCCCUCCCUGGCCUUGAAUCUUUUUAAAAAUUAUUAUUAUUAGAGUAUAGUUGAUGUACAAUGUUGUGCCAAUUUAUGCUGCACAGAAAAGUGACCCAGUCAUAUAUGUAUGUACAAAUAUAUACAUACAUAUAUAUUCUUUUUCUCAUGCUGCAUCUUCCAUCAUGUUCUAUCCCAAGAUGUUGCACAUCGUACCCUGUGCUAUAGAGUAGGACUUCCUUGCUUAUCCAUUCCAAAUGUAAUAAUGUGCCUCUACUAACCCCAAACUCCCCAUCCACCCCACUCCCUCUCCCACCAACCUUGGCAACCACAAGUCUGUUCUCCAUGUCUGUGAAUCCUUUUUGAAACUGGGGGCAGUCAAUGCAGUCUCCUACCUAGAGCUGAUGCUAACAAUUUAAUGCUAGAAGUUCUGUUGUGCUCCAUAAAAAUUCACAAUUCACUCUUUUAUCAGAUGAAGGACAGCACAUAUCCUUCAGCGACUGAUGUUGGAAAGUUCUGCAGGGACAAUCAGUUGGCCCCAAUCAAAUUCUUUUCCUCUGCUUCCCCUUUAUACCAAAACCUCUGAGAAGAGCCCCUCUCUCUGUCUCUGCUCUUCACACACAUGAACUAAAUACAGGGAAAAGUUGAGGUGCUGUAAGCUGCCUCCUGAGGAAGUCCACACAUGGUUGGGGUUUGAGAAGAGCCCUGAACAUUCUGGUCACUGCCAUCCUAAGUAGCAAUAACCUGCUAAGGUCAACAUACUGCAAAGAUUCAACACCGCAUACCCAAGCCACACAUUCAUAAAGCCAAUCUUUCAACUGAAAAAUCAGCUUUUGUGCAAUGCUAGGCUGCAAAUCACUAGAAUUAAAAAAAAAAAAAAAA
rnacentral:lncRNA from 1 species